rnacentral:rRNA from 1 species
AUACGAAGGGCCCGAGCGUUGCGCGGACUUAUUGGGCUUAAAGCGUACGUAGGCGGGCGUGCAGGUAUCGAGUGAAAUCCCCCGGCUCAACCGGGGAACUGCUCGGUAAACCGCACGUCUUGAGGCAGGUAGGGGCCGUCGGAACGAUAGGUGGAGCGGUGAAAUGCGUAGAUAUCUAUCGGAACGCCAAAGGUGAAGACAGGCGGCUGGGCCUGACCUGACGCUGAGGUACGAAAGCGUGGGUAGCGAACGGGAUUAGAAACCCCAGUAGUCC